rnacentral:hammerhead_ribozyme from 1 species
AUCCAGUUGAUGCGUCUCAACUAGGACGAAACGCGCGUCCUAGAU